CCAAAGGCUCUUUUAAGAGCCACUAAGUUAUCCAUAUUAGAGUUG
rfam:Cricetulus griseus cell line CHO-K1, whole genome shotgun sequence.